GGCGUGAACUCGCGUGCCCGGUGGAUAUCAGGGAAGAACCCCCGCCCCGGACCCCCAGAUCUGCCAUGGCCGAGGUAGCGAUCGUCUCUGCGGCCACGAAGACUGUUUUAACUUGUACCACUUUCCCUUCCAUUUUUCCUGGGGUGCCUCUCACCCUGCAUCUGCGCGUUCAGCAAGCUGGAUUUCGGGAAUGCUCAGUUCAGAAGAGAAAAAAUUGCCGGGAAUCAAGUCCUUCUUUUUGUUAGUCGGUAGUCGAUUGAUGGGAAGUGUUCAAAAUGAUUCGAUGUGGUGACAAGGCUUCACCAGGUACUGCCUUCUAACUUGAGUUGGCCAUUUCCACAUGUCAGAUAGGACCAACUUGCCUUUUAACUACCCGUGUGAUACUUAAACACUGUUGCCGGUAUCACAGCUUUUCUUCAAAACAGGUAAUAUUAGGGACACUUGAU
rnacentral:lncRNA from 1 species